rnacentral:rRNA from 1 species
UUUUAAAUUGAGAGUUUGAUCCUGGCUCAGGAUGAACGCUGGCGGCGUGCUUAACACAUG